GACGAACGCUGGCGGCGUGCUUAACACAUGCAAGUCGAACGGAAAGGCCCUGCUUUUGUGGGGUGCUCGAGUGGCGAACGGGUGAGUAACACGUGAGUAAACUGCCCUUGACUUUGGGAUAACUUCAGGAAACUGGGGCUAAUACCGGAUAGGAGCUCCUGCUGCAUGGUGGGGGUUGGAAAGUUUCGGCGGUUGGGGAUGGACUCGCGGCUUAUCAGCUGGUUGGUGGGGUAGUGGCUUACCAAGGCUUUGACGGGUAGCCGGCCUGAGAGGGUGACCGGCCACAUUGGGACUGCGAUACGGCCCAGACUCCUACGGGAGGCAGCAGUGGGGAAUAUUGCACAAUGGGCGGAAGCCUGAUGCAACAACGCCGCGUGCGGGAUGACGUCCUUCGGGUUGUAAACCGCUUUCUCCGGUGACGAAGCGUGAGUGACGGUAAUGGGUAAAGAAGCACCGGCUAACUACGUG
rnacentral:rRNA from 1 species